UACGUAGGUGGCAAGCGUUGUCCGGAAUUAUUGGGCGUAAAGCGCGCGCAGGCGGCCUUUUAAGUCUGAUGUGAAAGCCCACGGCUCAACCGUGGAAGGUCAUUGGAAACUGAAAGGCUUGAGUACAGAAGAGGAAAGCGGAAUUCCACGUGUAGCGGUGAAAUGCGUAGAGAUGUGGAGGAACACCAGUGGCGAAGGCGGCUUUCUGGUCUGUAACUGACGCUGAGGAGCGAAAGCGUGGGUAGCAAACAGG
rnacentral:rRNA from 1 species